AACGAACGCUGGCGGCGUGCCUAACACAUGCAAGUCGCACGAGAAAGGGUCUUCGGAUAUGAGUAAAGUGGCGCACGGGUGAGUAACACGUGAAUUAUCUACCUUCGGGUGGGGAAUAACUUCGGGAAACGGAGGCUAAUACCGCAUAAUAUCUACGGAUCAAAGCAGUAAUGCGCUUGAAGAGGAGUUCGCGGCAGAUUAGUUAGUUGGCGGGGUAAUGGCCCACCAAGACGAUGAUCUGUAUCCGGCCUGAGAGGGCGCACGGACACACUGGAACUGAAACACGGUCCAGACUCCUACGGGAGGCAGCAGUGGGGAAUUUUGCGCAAUGGGGGAAAUCCUGACGCAGCAACGCCGCGUGGAGGAUGAAGUCUCUUGGGACGUAAACUCCUUUCGAUAGGGAAGAUUAUGACGGUACCUAUAGAAGAAGCCCCGGCUAACUUCGUGCCAGCCGCCGCGGUAA
rnacentral:rRNA from 1 species